UGACAUGGCUCAGUUGGUAGAGCCUGAGACUCUUAAUCUCAGGAUCGUGGGUUUGAGUUCCACAUUGGGGGAAAA